AUGCUGACUUUAGCAGCACAUACACUAAAAUUGGAAUGAUACAGAGAUCAGCAUGGUCCUUGUGUAAGGAUGGCACACAAGUGCAGGAAGCAUUCCAUAUUUUU
ensembl:snRNA U6 U6 spliceosomal RNA